AUGGAGAAGCUGCGCAUGUGUGACCGACAAUGGAAUUUCGCGGAUCUGCAGAUCGAUAGUGCUGUGAGGAGUACGACGCCAGCUUCAACUUCUUCUUCUGUUUUUCUGUCAAACAAAAAUAACAAGCAAACAAAUAAUGAUAAUGAUGGUGGUUGUUUUACAGGUUUAGUAAGAAGUUUGAUUUUUUGA